rnacentral:rRNA from 1 species
UACGAAGGGGGCUAGCGUUGCUCGGAAUCACUGGGCGUAAAGGGUGCGUAGGCGGGUCUUUAAGUCAGGGGUGAAAUCCUGGAGCUCAACUCCAGAACUGCCUUUGAUACUGAGGAUCUUGAGUUCGGGAGAGGUGAGUGGAACUGCGAGUGUAGAGGUGAAAUUCGUAGAUAUUCGCAAGAACACCAGUGGCGAAGGCGGCUUACUGGUCCGGUUCUGACGCUGAGGCGCGAAAGCGUGGGGAGCAAACAGGG